rnacentral:tmRNA from 1 species
GAUCUUCCAAAAAGAGACAUUUUUAUUUAUAUAAGAGGGGCUGGGUUUUCUCAGCUAUAGUGAUAAACGUUUUUCGUAAUAAACGAAGCGGACCCGGGGGCAGUACCCGGCGCCUCCACCAAUAAUGUUAUUGAUGUCGUUUGGUUAUAUCUGGGGGCGAAAUAGGAUCGACGCUCGCGUAAAAGUUGAGCUUUCACUCGGCAUGGUACCGUCGUUAUCGGACCAAAACUAUAGGUGCCAACGAUAAUGUUGAGCCUACCGCUGUUGCCGCUUAAUAAGCGUCAAUAAGCGCGGUUCGGGGAGCACCGGGCAACAGAAGCUCCCCACU